CAGCAGCCACGGUAAUACGGAGGGUGCAAGCGUUAAUCGGAAUUACUGGGCGUAAAGCGCACGCAGGCGGUCUGUCAAGUCAGAUGUGAAAUCCCCGGUCUUAACCUGGGAACUGCAUUUGAAACUGGCAGGCUAGAGUCUUGUAGAGGGGGGUAGAAUUCCAGGUGUAGCGGUGAAAUGCGUAGAGAUCUGGAGGAAUACCGGUGGCGAAGGCGGCCCCCUGGACAAAGACUGACGCUCAGGUGCGAAAGCGUGGGGAGCAAACAGGAUUAGAUACCCCAGUAGUCCCUGUCUCUUAUCC
rnacentral:rRNA from 1 species